CCCUUCAGUGCCCAUGUUAUUGUCUUACUUAAUUCCCCUGUAUUCACCUUGAUUUUAUUACGCUUCAAGUCCUGUCAGUUGAACUUGGAUUUCAAUAUCCACCCUGAGGGGGUUUUUCCUUGACUGGCUGUGCAUGAAGCUAGGAGUAAUCUAGAGAGACGAUCUUGUCCUAAUUCCCCUGAAGAAGCCAAGAGGCGAAACUAGUAGGGUCGACCUGAUCGAAAAAAUUAUUUCUAGAUCUUGCUC